GCCAGGCUGUCACACCAGCACUAAAUUCACUUAAAAAAACAACCGAGAGAGACAGCUGGUAAGAUACCUAAGAAUGCUGAUACUUCUGAGAAGGGGAGCGAGACACGGGUCAUUUGUAAAAAUAGCAUAAACCCUGUCUGUAACUUCAGCAACGUUCAACUUUUGUAUUUAAAAGGGUCCUCGGAGGCUGCGGCUUUCGUGCCCAUACCCCAGCUCCCAGGGAGCCUGGGAAAAUAAGCUCAUUGUGUCGGAAGGCCUUGAAAGGGAAAGGCGGCUUGCAGAAGGACGGGAGGAGGGGAAGAGCGAGAGCCCAGCUUGAAAACGCAUGGAGUGAACUAGAAAACAAACACGUACCUACCCCGGCACGCACACAGGCCCUUAAACUCUGCCUGAACUCCGAAAUCUGAGACCAAGCUGGUUUGGGAGCCACUGCUCACUUUUCUUCUUCUUCUCCCCCACCUCCUUUUUUUUUUUUUUUUUAAAGUCAUCGUUUUGUUUUCAAUUACCUCCUCCUUUGUAAGGAGGAAAAGAAAAAUCAGCAAAGUUUUGUGUGCGCGCGUGUGCGUGUCUCGCAGGCAGCUCAGGAAGAGCGAGCUGUCAAAAGCCCAGCCCAGUGUCUGGCUUUCUUGGUCCUGAGCAGACAAUAAUAACGAUAAAAAAAAAGACUCCGGCCCUGCUCCUCCUGCUGCCCCGCACCCCCACCGGUGCUUUUGCCGACCCAGCGCUGCGCCGCGUUCCCAUGGCCGACCUAUAUGUGUGUGUCCUGCCUGAUACGUACCAGCUGCGAAGGCGAGCUUGGGUCAGUUUUUGCUUUUUGUGUCAGGCGUGCUGGGAAGGGCGGGAGGAGAGGGGGAGUAUUUUUCUGGCUCUGUGCUGAGAAAGGAAGGAGGAAGGCAGGGAUACGGCACUCGCAGUCAGAGCGGCUUAAAGGCAAUCGCUGGCUGCGGAUCCUGUAACCGAAGCCUCCCCAGCAGGCAGGAGAGAACUGGUUUGUUCUGGUGUGCGUGCAUGCAUGCGUGUGCAUGUUUCGGUGUGGUGCACAAGCCCGAGCUCUCCCUGCAUCCACAGGAAGAGAGCGAGUGGUGCUCCCUAGCCGACGAAUUCCUCGCCCAAGCAGCUGCACGGUGAGCCCAGCGCUGGAAUCUCCCCGGGCCUUGCCUGUCCUUUCACUCUGAAAAUAUCACGCCUAAGGGGAGGGGAAGUGGUUUGGACAAAAUAAGAUUUGACCUGAGCAUCUGCCCAGAACUGAAACCAAGUGUCUGCCUCCCAGAAUUGUUGGCUUUCAAUAAAACUCAGAUCAUUUCUCUUGCCACCUGCCCAUCUUCAAGCAUGUCUGCGCUUUACGGGCCCACCCGGAAACACCAAUCUGUCGUGAAACAGGCCAUGCAUACAGCUCCUCAGCUGGACUCUGAAAACCUGCAGAAAAGCACAUUUUCAGCUAUCUAGGCCCAUUUUUACAGAUAAGCAUUCCAAUAAACAAGGUCUGUGUUACCCUG